GACGAACGCUGGCGGCGUGCUUAACACAUGCAAGUCGAACGGAAAGGCCCUGCUUUUGUGGGGUGCUCGAGUGGCGAACGGGUGAGUAACACGUGAGUAACCUGCCCUUGACUUUGGGAUAACUUCAGGAAACUGGGGCUAAUACCGGAUAGGAGCUCCUGCUGCAUGGUGGGGGUUGGAAAGUUUCGGCGGUUGGGGAUGGACUCGCGGCUUAUCAGCUUGUUGGUGGGGUAGUGGCUUACCAAGGCUUUGACGGGUAGCCGGCCUGAGAGGGUGACCGGCCACAUUGGGACUGAGAUACGGCCCAGACUCCUACGGGAGGCAGCAGUGGGGAAUAUUGCACAAUGGGCGGAAGCCUGAUGCAGCAACGCCGCGUGCGGGAUGACGGCCUUCGGGUUGUAAACCGCUUUCGCCUGUGACGAAGCGUGAGUGACGGUAAUGGGUAAAGAAGCACCGGCUAACUACGUGCCAGCAGCCGCGGUGAUACGUAGGGUGCGAGCGUUGUCCGGAUUUAUUGGGCGUAAAGGGCUCGUAGGUGGUUGAUCGCGUCGGAAGUGCAAUCUUGGGGCUUAACCCUGAGCGUGCUUUCGAUACGGGUUGACUUGAGGAAGGUAGGGGAGAAUGGAAUUCCUGGUGGAGCGGUGGAAUGCGCAGAUAUCAGGAGGAACACCAGUGGCGAAGGCGGUUCUCUGGGCCUUUCCUGACGCUGAGGAGCGAAAGCGUGGGGAGCGAACAGGCUUAGAUACCCUGGUAGUCCACGCUGUAAACGGUGGGUACUAGGUGUGGGGUCCAUUCCACGGGUUCCGUGCCGUAGCUAACGCUUUAAGUACCCCGCCUGGGGAGUACGGCCGCAAGGCUAAAACUCAAAGGAAUUGACGGGGCCCCGCACAAGCGGCGGAGCAUGCGGAUUAAUUCGAUGCAACGCGUAGAACCUUACCUGGGUUUGACAUGGAUCGGGAGCGCUCAGAGAUGGGUGUGCCUCUUUUGGGGUCGGUCCACAGGUGGUGCAUGGCUGUCGUCAGCUCGUGUCGUGAGAUGUUGGGUUAAGUCCCGCAACGAGCGCAACCCUUGUUCACUGUUGCCAGCACGUUAUGGUGGGGACUCAGUGGAGACCGCCGGGGUCAACUCGGAGGAAGGUGGGGAUGACGUCAAGUCAUCAUGCCCCUUAUGUCCAGGGCUUCACGCAUGCUACAAUGGCUGGUACAGAGAGUGGCGAGCCUGUGAGGGUGAGCGAAUCUCGGAAAGCCGGUCUCAGUUCGGAUUGGGGUCUGCAACUCGACCUCAUGAAGUCGGAGUCGCUAGUAAUCGCAGAUCAGCAACGCUGCGGUGAAUACGUUCCCGGG
rnacentral:rRNA from 1 species